rnacentral:tRNA from 1 species
GCCGGCGUGGUGAAAUUGGUAUACACGGUAGACUCAAAAUCUACUGGUCGCAAGAUCGUAUGGGUUCAAGUCCCAUCGCCGGUA